GGUCCUCGGCUAGUAACACACUGGAGAUGUACGGUCGCUGUUUGACUUUUGACACCACCAGACACUUGUAAGGCAGAGGAGAUCUUUCUAUAUAUGGACAUUUUUAAUUCAUGUAAUUUAUUAAAAACAUAACGUUUCAAAAUAUUUCAUGCAAAUUCGUUCAAUUUAGGUUAGCUAAGAAAUGCUUUCCCCUUGGUAUGCUAGCACUAUCCAGUGAGUAUAUCUACACCUCAAGGUAGUGGGUUGUCAAUUACCAACACUACAUUAUACGACAAAAUUGUUAAUGUUACCAUUUCCACAAGUUAGAUUUACUGGAUAGAACUUCACUUACCAUUUUCUUUUUCUGUUUUCCGCCACGAAAUAUCCAACUGCUCACUCUUCAUCAAGCGCCAAAAGAAAGGUCAGACUUUCGCGGGUUCUUUUUGGUGAUUGGAUGGAAACUGCAAGCACCAGAAGGAAGUAGGCGGGUGGUAAAUACUGACUGGUACACAGGAAUGUCAAUCAUUAUUCUGCGAGAAUUCAUUGGCUGUCCGCAUUUUUCCAUGGUCGAGGGAACUUCGAGUUCAGAUCGCCAAGGAGCUGUGUUUUCUCUAUCGCUCCAAGACUUUUGAAAAUGGUGUCACAUUACAAGCUUUUAAGUAGAAUACAUUUUAGACAAUCUCCCAAAGAAAAACAUAGGUUUUGAAAGUGGUUAAUGAAACAAGCUCUACUUCGAAAAUCAAUGAAUUGUCCCUCUUGCUGUCAUCUCAUGAAGUUGAGAAAGCCAUAUGGCACAAGGGAGUCAGCCUGGUGAGUAUGCCUGUACUUUUUGUUAGUCUAUAGGGGAAAACUGUUAUCAUUUAUUUUUAUGCAUUAUAUCAGGGUAAUAUGUCUAAACUGGAGCAAGUGAUGUAGGCUACUGAUGGAUUUGAUAUAUCAUAGACAAGUAUGAACAUAUUCACCAUAGGCUUUCCUUGCUUGAUAACUUUGUGUAGCUAUAUUGGCAUGGCAUGUUUUGACCACUGCUGUCUACUCAAAAAUAACCUCAAUAUUUAAUUGUCAGGAUAUGCCGAGAUUCUUGUCACAAAAGGAAAUCAGUGACCAGGUCCAUCCGAAAUGGUUCUGUUUAAAUUCUCAUGUUGGGCUGCACACAUGGAUGCAUUUAAUAUACAGAGGGUCUGGUCUGGUCUGAGAAAGGAUUAUGCAUCAGCAAAGAAAAUGGGCUUAAGAUACGGUUUGCUCAAGGUCUUCGUUUGCGGCAAGUGGACAUGCUACAGGAAGGGAUAACUGGGAGCUCUGCAACCCUGAGCAAACUUGCUGACAAGAUGCGGAGAGUUUGCAAAUCUGCGAUGAAGAGAAUGAGGAGGAGAGGCAAACAAGCUGUUGGAAGAAGAGGAGAACUCGUUAUGAUCGAUGAAAGCAAAUUUGGCCAUAAAAGAAAGUAUAACAGAGGAUGGGCCUGUAACCGAAGUUCAUGGGUGUUCGGAAUGCUAGGCCUCAAGGAUGACAGAAGGAGACCCAUUCUUAAGAUUGUGCGCCACCGUUCAGCAGGCCAUCUCAUGCCCCUUAUAAAGAAGCAUGUUCGACGGGGCAGCUCCAUUAUUUCAGAUGGAUGGAGGUCUUAUCACCAUCUUCAGAAUGAAGGUUAUAAUCAUCUGACUGUGAACCAUCAGGAAUAUUUUGUCGACCCCAUACAGGUGCACAUACACAGAACCUGGAACGUCUUUGGGGUGUUUGCAAGUCAACUAUAUGGAGACUAAGAGGGAACCGCACUCAAAAUAUGUUGAAAGAUCACUUAGAUGUAAUUGAGUGGACCUACUGGCGUGGAAACCAAUACAAAGAUGGACCACUAGGAAUGCUGUUACAUGACAUUAAGAAAAAAUAUCCUGUGAGAAAUGCAUGAGUCCUGUACUAUACUGUUCAUAAUGCGAGUUCAUACAACCAUUACAUUUUUUUUGGAUUGAUUCACUCUGGAUGUCUUCUUUACAUUUUUGGAAUUUAAAACUUUGUAGAAGGGAAGGGAACUAUAAGCAUAUUAAAGAUUUGUAUGCUAUCUCGUAUUCAUUACAUUAAUAAAAGAG
ensembl:lncRNA